UAUAAACGCCGUAAUCUGCUAAAAAAUCACUACCCUCACUGCACUCCGGUGGUUUCCGUCGUGGUUGAAGCAAGCAAAGGGGCUACUACCGGUGCAUUUGAGCAACAAUGAAGGUGGUUUUGAGCAAAGAUAACCUUGCAAAAUGGUGAAGGCUUGGCUUGGAGGAGGAGCAAAUGGCUAGGGUGCAGGAGGUAGAGGUGGCUAGGGUUUGCAAGCAGCGGAGGUGGCUGGGGUUUGCAAGCCGAGAGC
rnacentral:lncRNA from 1 species